AUUGAAACACUGGUUUCUUUAUGAUCACCAAAGUUAAGCAACAUAGAGCCUGGUCAGUAACUAGAUGGGUGACUGCUUAGGAAUACCAGGUGCUGUAA